rnacentral:rRNA from 1 species
CUACGGGAGGCAGCAGUCGAGAAUAAUUCACAAUGGGGGCAACCCUGAUGGUGCAACGCCGCGUGGAGGAUGACGGUCUUCGGAUUGUAAACUCCUGUCAUCUGGGAGUAAGACCUGGCUGUUAAUAGCAGACAGGGUUGAUAGUACCAGAAGAGGAAGGGACGGCUAACUUCGUGCCAGCAGCCGCGGUAAUACGAAGGUCCCGAGCGUUGUUCGGAAUCACUGGGCGUAAAGGGAGCGUAGGCGGCGCGGUAAGUCAGAUGUGAAAUCCCGGGGCUCAACCCCGGAACUGCAUCCGAUACUGCCGUGCUAGAGGAUUGGAGAGGUAGCUGGAAUUCUUGGUGUAGCAGUGAAAUGCGUAGAUAUCAAGAGGAACACUCGUGGCGAAAGCGAGCUACUGGACAACUCCUGACGCUGAGGCUCGAAGGCUAGGGUAGCGUAAGGGAUUAGAUACCCCUGUAGUCCUAGCAGUAAACGGUGCACGCUUGGUGUGAGGGGAAUUGACCCCCCUUGUGCCGGAGCUAACGCGUUAAGCGUGCCGCCUGGGAAGUACGGUCGCAAGACUAAAACUCAAAGAAAUUGACGGGGACCCGCACAAGCGGUGGAGUAUGUGGCUUAAUUCGAUGCAACGCGAAGAACCUUACCAAGGCUUGACAUGGAUUUCUAAGCACGUGAAAGCGUGUGACCCUUCGGGGAACUUCCACAGGUGCUGCAUGGCCGUCGUCAGCUCGUGUCGUGAGAUGUUGGGUUAAGUCCCGCAACGAGCGCAACCCUUGUGAUUAGUUGCCAGCACGUUAUGGUGGGAACUCUAAUCAGACUGCCCAGAUCAACUGGGAGGAAGGUGGGGACGACGUCAGGUCAGUAUGGCCCUUACGCCUUGGGCUGCACACGUACUACAAUGCCCAGCACAAUGAGAACCGAUACCGCGAGGUGGAGGAAAUCUAUAAAACUGGGCCCAGUUCGGAUUGGAGGCUGCAACUCGCCUCCAUGAAGUUGGAAUCGCUAGUAAUGGCACAUCAUCUACGGUGCCGUGAAUACGUUCCCGGGCCUUGUACACACCGC